ACGGGUGAGUAAUACAUCGGAACGUGCCCUGUAGUGGGGGAUAACUAGUCGAAAGAUUAGCUAAUACCGCAUACGACCUGAGGGUGAAAGUGGGGGACCGCAAGGCCUCAUGCUAUAGGAGCGGCCGAUGUCUGAUUAGCUAGUUGGUGGGGUAAAGGCCCACUAAGGCGACGAUCAGUAGCUGGUCUGAGAGGACGAUCAGCCACACUGGGACUGAGACACGGCCCAGACUCCUACGGGAGGCAGCAGUGGGUAAUUUUGGACAAUGGGGGCAACCCUGAUCCAGCAAUGCCGCGUGUGUGAAGAAGGCCUUCGGGUUGUAAAGCACUUUUGUCCGGAAAGAAAUCGCACUUACUAAUAUUAGGUGUGGAUGACGGUACCGGAAGAAUAAGGACCGGCUAACUACGUGCCAGCAGCCGCGGUAAUACGUAGGGUCCAAGCGUUAAUCGGAAUUACUGGGCGUAAAGCGUGCGCAGGCGGUUGUGCAAGACCGAUGUGAAAUCCCCGGGCUUAACCUGGGAAUUGCAUUGGUGACUGCACGGCUAGAGUGUGUCAGAGGGGGGUAGAAUUCCACGU
rnacentral:rRNA from 1 species